CUGAAAAAAUGGCAAUGGGGGGAUUGUUGAAUUUGCAAAAAUGCCUUUCGUAUUUCCUACAUGAUUCAUUUAUGUUUCUCAUCUAAACAUAUUUUAGUCUUGUGCCAUUCAUUUAAUGUUAAAGGAUGUUCAAUCUUUUAGAAUUAAUCAUGUUGAAAUGUUAGAAAUUAGUUAUGUUUUCUCUGGAAACUCCGCCCCCUGGGAACGCGCAAAGGAAAACCAAUUAGCUGCUGGACAGUCCGCCAUUUUCACUCUAGCUUUGGAUGUUGGAAGCUGGACCUUUUCGCAGUGGAUCGCUACAGUGUGAAGUUUGACAUCUGUUUUGCUUUGUAUGCUGGCUGUUAAGUAGAAGUGGUGGUUGCAUUUACGUGAUGUUUUUCUGCU